rnacentral:rRNA from 1 species
UACGAAGGGGGCUAGCGUUGCUCGGAAUUACUGGGCGUAAAGCGCACGUAGGCGGCUUGCCAAGUCGGACGUGAAAUCCCUCAGCUCAACUGAGGACGUGCAUCCGAAACUGGCGAGCUUGAGUGCUGAAGAGGAUCGCGGAAUUCCCGGUGUAGAGGUGAAAUUCGUAGAUAUCGGGAGGAACACCAGUGGCGAAGGCGGCGAUCUGGGCAGACACUGACGCUGAGGUGCGAAAGCGUGGGGAGCAAACAGGG